rnacentral:rRNA from 1 species
UGUUUCGGCAAGGGGGUCAUCCCGACUUACCAACCCGAUGCAAACUGCGAAUACCGGAGAAUGUUAUCACGGGAGACACACGGCGGGUGCUAACGUCCGUCGUGAAGAGGGAAACAACCCAGACCGCCAGCUAAGGUCCCAAAGUCAUGGUUAAGUGGGAAACGAUGUGGGAAGGCCCAGACAGCCAGGAUGUUGGCUUAGAAGCAGCCAUCAUUUAAAGAAAGCGUAAUAGCUCACUGGUCGAGUCGGCCUGCGCGGAAGAUGUAACGGGGCUAAACCAUGCACCGAAGCUGCGGCAGCGACGCUGAUGCGUUGUUGGGUAGGGGAGCGUUCUGUAAGCCUGCGAAGGUGUGCUGUGAGGCAUGCUGGAGGUAUCAGAAGUGCGAAUGCUGACAUAAGUAACGAUAAAGCGGGUGAAAAGCCCGCUCGCCGGAAGACCAAGGGUUCCUGUCCAACGUUAAUCGGGGCAGGGUGAGUCGACCCCUAAGGCGAGGCCGAAAGGCGUAGUCGAUGGGAAACAGGUUAAUAUUCCUGUACUUGGUGUUACUGCGAAGGGGGGACGGAGAAGGCUAUGUUGGCCGGGCGACGGUUGUCCCGGUUUAAGCGUGUAGGCUGGUUUUCCAGGCAAAUCCGGAAAAUCAAGGCUGAGGCGUGAUGACGAGGCACUACGGUGCUGAAGCAACAAAUGCCCUGCUUCCAGGAAAAGCCUCUAAGCAUCAGGUAACAUCAAAUCGUACCCCAAACCGACACAGGUGGUCAGGUAGAGAAUACCAAGGCGCUUGAGAGAACUCGGGUGAAGGAACUAGGCAAAAUGGUGCCGUAACUUCGGGAGAAGGCACGCUGAUAUGUAGGUGAAGUCCCUCGCGGAUGGAGCUGAAAUCAGUCGAAGAUACCAGCUGGCUGCAACUGUUUAUUAAAAACACAGCACUGUGCAAACACGAAAGUGGACGUAUACGGUGUGACGCCUGCCCGGUGC